rnacentral:rRNA from 1 species
UACGAAGGGGGCUAGCGUUGCUCGGAAUCACUGGGCGUAAAGCGCACGUAGGCGGCUUCUUAAGUCGAUGGUGAAAUCCUGGAGCUCAACUCCAGAACUGCCUUCGAUACUGGGGAGCUAGAGUCCGGGAGAGGUGAGUGGAACUGCGAGUGUAGAGGUGAAAUUCGUAGAUAUUCGCAAGAACACCAGUGGCGAAGGCGGCUCACUGGCCCGGUACUGACGCUGAGGUGCGAAAGCGUGGGGAGCAAACAGG